rnacentral:rRNA from 1 species
GAUGAACGCUGGCGGCGUGCCUAAUACAUGCAAGUCGAGCGAACGGACGAGAAGCUUGCUUUUCUGAUGUUAGCGGCGGACGGGUGAGUAACACGUGGAUAACCUACCUAUAAGACUGGGAUAACUUCAGGAAACCGGAGCUAAUAUCGGAUAAUAUUUUGAACCGCAUGGUUCAAAAGUGAAAGACGGUCUUGCUGUCACUUAUAGAUGGAUCCGCGCUGCAUUAGCUAGUUGGUAAGGUAACGGCUUACCAAGGCAACGAUGCAUAGCCGACCUGAGAGGGUGAUCAGCCACACUGGAACUGAGACACGGUCCAGACUCCUACGGGAGGCAGCAGUAGGGAAUCUUCCGCAAUGGGCGAAAGCCUGACGGAGCAACGCCGCGUGAGUGAUGAAGGUCUUCGGAUCGUAAAACUCUGUUAUUAGGGAAGAACAUAUGUGUAAGUAACUGUGCACAUCUUGACGGUACCUAAUCAGAAAGCCACGGCUAACUACGUG